rnacentral:rRNA from 1 species
UAGGGAAUCUUCCGCAAUGGGCGAAAGCUUGACGGAGCAACGCCGCGUGAGUGAUGAAGGUCUUCGGAUCGUAAAACUCUGUUAUUAGGGAAGAACAAAUGUGUAAGUAACUAUGCACGUCUUGACGGUACCUAAUCAGAAAGCCACGGCUAACUACGUGCCAGCAGCCGCGGUAAUACGUAGGUGGCAAGCGUUAUCCGGAAUUAUUGGGCGUAAAGCGCGCGUAGGCGGUUUUUUAAGUCUGAUGUGAAAGCCCACGGAUCAACCGUGGAGGGUCAUUGGAAACUGGAAAACUUGAGUGCAGAAGAGGAAAGUGGAAUUCCUUGUGUAGCGGUGAAAUGCGCAGAGAUAUGGAGGAACACCAGUGGCGAAGGCGACUUUCUGGUCUGUAACUGACGCUGAUGUGCGAAAGCGUGGGGAUCAAACAGG